rnacentral:tRNA from 1 species
CGGAUGUGGCCAAGUGGAUUAAGGCAGU